UUCAUGUGUUACAGUUAAAUCGUGGUGAAUCCCCCUAAGCGGCGGGGCUAAUUAACCUGACGACUCUUCUACAUUGGGGCAUCGUGAAUUUCUGGAGCAAGCGGGUCAAGGUUGGUUAACCAAAAGGCUCACCGGGAGGCACCCGGCACCACAACCUGUCAGAACCAAAGCUCCCCUGCUGGUGGGCU
rnacentral:sRNA from 1 species